rnacentral:rRNA from 1 species
AACGAACGCUGGCGGCAUGCCUAACACAUGCAAGUCGAACGAGACCUUCGGGUCUAGUGGCGCACGGGUGCGUAACGCGUGGGAACCUUCCCUUAGGUUCGGAAUAACUCCCCGAAAGGGGUGCUAAUACCGGAUAAUGUCUUCGGACCAAAGAUUUAUCGCCUUUGGAUGGGCCCGCGUUGGAUUAGCUAGUUGGUAGGGUAAAAGCCUACCAAGGCGACGAUCCAUAGCUGGUCUGAGAGGAUGAUCAGCCACACUGGGACUGAGCCACGGCCCAGACUCUUACGCGAGGCAGCAGUGGGGAAUAUUGGAAAAUGGGCGAAAGCCUGAUGCAGCACUGCCGCGUGAGUGAUGAAGGCCUUAGGGUUGUAAAGCUCUUUUACCCGGGAUGAUAAUGACAGUACCGGGAGAAUAAGCUCCGGCUAACUCCGUG